GUUUUUCUUCUUCUAGCUAGAUCUUGCACUCUUCUUUCAUAAUUUGCACUUGAAGUCAACCAAAUGAACCCUCAAAAGUCAACUUUUUCUUUAAUGCACCAAAAGGCUUUGCUCUAACUUGGUAUGUUUAGCUUGACUUUGAUAUUUUUGGUUUAAUGGCAUCCUUAAUUAAUCAAAUUAGUGCUCAAGGACCUUGAUUCUCAUCUUUAAAUUAUUAACCUACACAAAUAAAAAAAUAAACAAGUUUAAG
rnacentral:lncRNA from 1 species